CCGGGACUCGUGCGCGCACGUCUCCGCCCCCCGGCCAAUCACAGGCGAGCUGGCGGGCUCGUGUACACAGUGGCACAUGGCUAGGCUACUCUGGCCAUGUGAGCCCUGGCUAGGAAGUAGAACACGGUUGUUUGGGUCAAAAGGUGGACGACGAGCAACGAUGAUUUGACAUUCUUAACGCCGCUUUAGCACCCCCAAAAACGGGGUACGGGACACCUUUGACAGUGUCUGAGCCAAAGACAUCGACGGAUGGAGGACUUGUGGCAGGUAAUCAGCGGCAGGUGUGGCAGAGGAGUUGCCCCAAAAGAGAAAUAUGGCGGUUUGGACUUGUGUAGUGACGGUUAUCCUGUUGGCUGUGGUACGUCUUAAUGGUAUUGUUGUGUCGCUGGGUGAGUUUCCCAUAGAACAACACCAAAUGUUACAAAACAUGAGCGUACUGGUAAGAAAAAGUAGGUUUAUGUGGGUCAACAAGACCGGAAAGAACCCACACGAUCUCCCGCCUGAUUCCUAAUUACAUACACCUGUGCUUAAAUAAUGUUAUACUGCCACCCGUGGACACCUGACGUAAUAACAUGACAAUAAAUAGAAGGUGGCUCCUACACAACCAGAUUUGUUGUAAUGAAAAAAACAAGGAAUUUGCCUCCAAAUUAUCCAAAAAUUAACACAACACCGCAAGUGUAGUCAUUUUAACUGUCCUGUUGCAUUCUGGGAUAUCUUCU